UACGAAGGGGGCUAGCGUUGUCCGGAAUCAUUGGGCGUAAAGGGCGCGUAGGUGGCCCGGUGAGUCUUUGGUGAAAGCGCGGGGCUCAACCCUGCGUCGGCCAGGGAUACUGCCGCGGCUCGAGCACUGUAGAGGCAGGCGGAAUUCCGGGUGUAGCGGUGGAAUGCGUAGAGAUCCGGAAGAACACCGGUGGCGAAGGCGGCCUGCUGGGCAGUGGCUGACGCUGAGGCGCGACAGCGUGGGGAGCAAACAGG
rnacentral:rRNA from 1 species